GUGAAGUUCUCUUGGGUAUACCUAUAAGACACCACGGGAAGCUGAAAAUUCAUCAUGGACACUUUGGGUAAAACAAUCACAUGCUGGGCAGCCAUUGCCUGGGAAAGAAAUUCUCCUCUUUCCAUUGAAGAAGUGCAGCUUGAGCCACCAAAGGCUGGGGAAGUUCGUAUUAAGAUGACAUCUUCAGGGAUAUGUGGUUCUGAUAAUCACAUACUGAAAGGAUCACUCCCGGGGAACUUUCCUUUAAUCCCAGGCCAUGAAGGAGCUGGAAUUGUGGAGAGUAUUGGUGGAGGAGUAAGCUCAGUGAAACCAGGUAGGAAAUGGGGCCACAAAACCAAACAGUCUGCCCAAGAGCUUCCCUUGCACAGAGGAUGAACUUAAAAUGCAGGAACAUGUUUACAGGAGAAAUAAAAUGGUUUGCCUCCAGCUUCUUCUAACUCAUCACGUAUCAUGGUAUUAAAUGUGUCCAGGGAUUCCAAGAGUUGCACAGUUUCCCUGCUGUCAUCUGGAGCAACCCAGAGGGGCAGUGGCUGAGCCAAGCGUCUAUCCAUAGCCAAAGGAGAGCUGAGGUAGGACCAGUGUCCUUCUAACAGAUUGAAAGCCCCUUAGGGGCAGGAACUGCUGCUUAUAUAUGUUUGUGUCCCCCACAUGCUUAGCACAGUGCCUGUCCCACGGUUAGAAGGCACUGAAUGUUUGACAAGUGAAUGCAGGUUCUAAUCAACUAGAACAUAGGACUUCAAUUUUCAUUGACAGGAGGAUAGCUACAUUUCAAAGAAUCAAAGUAGCAAGUACAUGCUCUUCCCCAGGCAUUUCAACAAGGAUCUUGGCAUGGCUGUUGUCAGCGUGUCUGAAAUGCUCAGAGUGGGUAAGAGCAAUCACGCAGAUCAAGACAGCCCAGAAGCUCGCAGUUUGGAGCCAGGCACACGCAAAGAGCUGUAAGCAAGUGCAUGGUCAG